rnacentral:rRNA from 1 species
UACGUAGGGGGCAAGCGUUAAGCGGAAUUACUGGGCGUAAAGCGUGCGCAGGCGGUUUUGUAAGUCAGGGGGGAAAUCCCCGGGCUUAACCUGGGAACUGCGUUUGAAACUACAAGGCUAGAGUGUGGCAGAGGGGGGUGGAAUUCCGCGUGUAGCAGUGAAAUGCGUAGAUAUGCGGAGGAACACCGAUGGCGAAGGCAAUCCCCUGGGCCUGCACUGACGCUCAUGCACGAAAGCGUGGGGAGCAAACAGG